rnacentral:rRNA from 1 species
UGGGGAAUUUUGGACAAUGGGCGAAAGCCUGAUCCAGCAAUGCCGCGUGUGUGAAGAAGGCCUUCGGGUUGUAAAGCACUUUUGUCCGGAAAGAAAUCCUUGGCUCUAAUACAGUCGGGGGAUGACGGUACCGGAAGAAUAAGCACCGGCUAACUACGUGCCAGCAGCCGCGGUAAUACGUAGGGUGCAAGCGUUAAUCGGAAUUACUGGGCGUAAAGCGUGCGCAGGCGGUUUGCUAAGACCGAUGUGAAAUCCCCGGGCUCAACCUGGGAACUGCGUUGGUGACUGGCAGGCUAGAGUAUGGCAGAGGGGGGUAGAAUUCCACGUGUAGCAGUGAAAUGCGUAGAGAUGUGGAGGAAUACCGAUGGCGAAGGCAGCCCCCUGGGCCAAUACUGACGCUCAUGCACGAAAGCGUGGGGAGCAAACAGGAUUAGAUACCCUGGUAGUCCACGCCCUAAACGAUGUCAACUAGUUGUUGGGGGAUUCAUUUCCUUAGUAACGUAGCUAACGCGUGAAGUUGACCGCCUGGGGAGUACGGUCGCAAGAUUAAAACUCAAAGGAAUUGACGGGGUCAUAGCUGUUUCCU